rnacentral:lncRNA from 1 species
AUGGCAGAAGUGGAGCAGAAAAAGCAGCAAAGCAGAAGAAGCAGACCUUCUGCAAGUUCACCUCCUGUGGCGUGCACCCCGACCCACUGCUGGACUUGUCAUGCGAGCAGCGAAUGAAGCUGCACCGUGGCCUGUGGCAGAAGCAGCACUCGCUGCUGAAGCGCCUGCGCAAGGGCAAGAAGUGGGCACUGCCUAUGCAGAAGCUGGAGGUGGUGAACGCGCACCUGCAGGAUAUGAUCAUCCUGCCCGAGAUGGGAGACAAGACGGUGGGUAGCAUGGUGGGCGUCUACAAUGGCAAGGCCUUCAACCAAGUGGAGGGCAAGCCCGAGAGGAUUGGCCAUUACCUCGAUCACCUACAAGCUCGUGAAGCACUGCCCGGCCAGGCAUCAGAGCCACCCACUCUUCCUGCUUCACCACCCUCAA